AUGUUCACUGAGGAGAAGCGGCUGAGGAGCCGGCCUGCAACCUGCCUGGCGGCUCUAGUAGGCGCAGGCGUCGGGAGUGGCCGCCUCACAGGCAGCUCUGGAGGGAUCCGGUUGAGGAGGAAGCAGAGGCGUCCCGACCUGGGCCUUCGCCUUGAUCCUCCAUGGACGCUCGACUGGGCCUACAGUACUCCCUUACGUGUGGCUAAAGGAGGAGUUGACCACACCAAAAUGAGUCUGCAUGGUGCUAGUGGUGGACAUGAGAGAUCAAGAGAUAGACGAAGGUCAAGUGACAGAUCACGAGAUUCAUCUCAUGAAAGAGCAGAGUCUCAGCUCACUCCUUGUAUUAGAAAUGUUACUUCUCCAACACGGCAGCAUCAUGUUGAACGAGAAAAAGAUCACAGUUCCUCUCGUCCAAGCAGUCCUUGUCCUCAAAAAGCAUCCCCAAAUGGUUCCAUUAGCAGUGCUGGGAAUAGCAGCAGAAACAGUAGUCAGUCAAGUUCAGAUGGUAGCUGUAAGACAUCUGGGGAUAUGGUGUUUGUAUAUGAAAAUGCAAAAGAAGGAGCUCGGAAUGUAAGGACAUCAGAACGAGUGACACUAAUAGUGGAUAACACUAGAUUUGUUGUAGACCCAUCCAUUUUUACUGCACAGCCAAAUACAAUGUUGGGCAGGAUGUUUGGAUCUGGCCGAGAACAUAACUUUACACGUCCCAAUGAGAAGGGAGAAUAUGAAGUGGCAGAAGGAAUUGGUUCCACUGUAUUUCGAUUUCUUACCCCCUGGAUGGGAACCUCUGCUGCUGACAUCCAAGUUCCACCAAGAGUUUUGAUUGCAGAAGAAGAAACUCCAGUAGCAAGUGGCAAUGUGCUACACCACUGGUGUCAUAACAAAGUCAAAAUAGGUUUCUAA